GGCUCUUCUACACACAUCCGUAGCUAUGGAAAGAAAGCUUGUAGUGGAGUGGCUUCCUUUGUAUGAUCUUGGAAGAUGAUGACCUCUGAAGCCCAUUAGAAAGCAUGGCAACGGCUAAAGGAUAAAGUGCGAUGUUUUGCCCGAGGGGUUGGAGCAGGACCGCAGGAUGAG